GAUGAACGCUGGCGGCGUGCCUAAUACAUGCAAGUCGAGCGAACAGACGAGGAGCUUGCUCCUCUGACGUUAGCGGCGGACGGGUGAGUAACACGUGGAUAACCUACCUAUAAGACUGGGAUAACUUCGGGAAACCGGAGCUAAUACCGGAUAAUAUAUUGAACCGCAUGGUUCAAUAGUGAAAGACGGUUUUGCUGUCACUUAUAGAUGGAUCCGCGCCGCAUUAGCUAGUUGGUAAGGUAACGGCUUACCAAGGCAACGAUGCGUAGCCGACCUGAGGGGGUGAUCGGCCACACUGGAACUGAGACACGGUCCAGACUCCUACGGGAGGCAGCAGUAGGGAAUCUUCCGCAAUGGGCGAAAGCCUGACGGAGCAACGCCGCGUGAGUGAUGAAGGUCUUCGGAUCGUAAAACUCUGUUAUUAGGGAAGAACAAAUGUGUAAGUAACUAUGCACGUCUUGGCGGUACCUAAUCAGAAAGCCACGGCUAACUACGUG
rnacentral:rRNA from 1 species